GAUGAACGCUGGCGGCGUGCCUAAUACAUGCAGGUCGAGCGAACGGACGAGAAGCUUGCUUCUCUGAUGUUAGCGGCGGACGGGUGAGUAACACGUGGAUAACCUCCCUAUAAGACUGGGAUAACUUCGGGAAACCGGAGCUAAUACCGGAUAAUAUUUUGAACCGCAUGGUUCAAAAGUGAAAGACGGUCUUGCUGUCACUUAUAGAUGGAUCCGCGCUGCAUUAGCUAGUUGGUAAGGUAACGGCUUACCAAGGCAACGAUGCAUAGCCGACCUGAGAGGGUGAUCGGCCACACUGGAACUGAGACACGGUCCAGACUCCUACGGGAGGCAGCAGUAGGGAAUCUUCCGCAAUGGGCGAAAGCCUGACGGAGCAACGCCGCGUGAGUGAUGAAGGUCUUCGGAUCGUAAAACUCUGUUAUUAGGGAAGAACAUAUGUGUAAGUAACUGUGCACAUCUUGACGGUACCUAAUCAGAAAGCCACGGCUAACUACGUG
rnacentral:rRNA from 1 species